rnacentral:lncRNA from 1 species
CUGAAUGCAAGAAUCCAGUCUCAGAAUGCCGCAUGCUUCAUGAUUCUAUUUACAUCCCAUUGCCAAUAGACAAAAUUACAGUGAUGGAGAACAGACCAAUGGCUGCCCAGGGUUGCAGGGGAAUUGAGUAUUUCACUAUGAAGAGGUCUCCAGCUUGGCAGCCUAUGCUGAAGAUUUUGGAUUUGUCAGCUUCCACAAUCAUGUGAGCCAGCCUGGGUGUGCUGGCUUAUGCUUGUAAUCCCAGCACUUUGGGAGGCCGAGGCAGGAGGAUAACUUCAGCCCAGGAGUUUGAGACCAGCCUGGAUAAUGGACAGGAAGUGGGGAAAUCACUGACCUUUGACUUAAGAGGAAAC